UACGUAGGGUGCGAGCGUUGUCCGGAAUUACUGGGCGUAAAGAGCUCGUAGGCGGUCUGUCACGUCGGCUGUGAAAACCCGAGGCUCAACCUCGGGCCUGCAGUCGAUACGGGCAAACUAGAGUACUGCAGGGGAGACUGGAAUUCCUGGUGUAGCGGUGAAAUGCGCAGAUAUCAGGAGGAACACCGAUGGCGAAGGCAGGUCUCUGGGCAUUAACUGACGCUGAGGAGCGAAAAGCAUGGGGGAGCGAACAGG
rnacentral:rRNA from 1 species